rnacentral:lncRNA from 1 species
UGAACAAGAGUGAAUGUUUGCUGGGAGAGAGCACUGAGGACCCUGGCCAGGCAAGCUCUGUAAGAAACUCAAAGUACGACGUCCCUCGAGUCUAUGGAUGGAGCAGCACUACCUGCAGGGUCCUGAAUAAAUUCUCAGAGCUACAGCAGAGCUCAGAGGCUCUCUAGUACCAGAAGGACACCAACUGGAGUGAGUCCAGCUGAGGCCAUCAAGGAUGGUGGUCACUCCAGAACUGCUCAUAGACAGAAAGAUUUGGCUACGUUUGCACGGUGCACGGCCACUGCCCGACAGCAUUAGUGGAAACUGCCUUUCCCCGGUGACCUUGCUGCUAAGCUGGAGACUGCCAGGGACUGUCACCUCCAAUGACACUGCUCAGAGGGUCCUUGUCAGAACAAUUACCACUGCACUUCCCUGGUGUGGGUCAUUGGCUGCACUCUGGAGAGCGAAAAGGCAACCAGUCUUACUCCUCACUUAACUAAACCAUGCCGAGAGAGAAAGAAGUGCCUCUCCUCUCUCCUCCCUGCUGUGAUCGGUGGCCGAAGGGCAGGGAACACCUUGGGCAGCAGGUGAGCAGCUGGACGGAGCUCGGGGGGGCCACGCGCUGCACCUCUUCCCCCUUCAGGACCCCGCAGCGUGGGCGAGCCUUAGGAACAACCAGGAGGAACCGUGAUUUAUUCUCCACUUUCAAGUGAUACCGUGAACCUUUUGAAGCAAAGUGAGGUGGUUAUUUUUUUGUUGUUUCCUUUUUUAUUUU